GACGAACGCUGGCGGCGUGCUUAACACAUGCAAGUCGAGCGGAAAGGCCCUUUCGGGGGUACUCGAGCGGCGAACGGGUGGGUAACACGUGAGUAAUCUGCCCUUCACUUUGGGAUAACCCCCGGAAACGGGAGCUAAUACCGGAUAUGACCGGCAACCGCAUGGUUUGUUGGUGGAAACUUCUUUGGGUGGGGGAUGUGCUCGCGGCCUAUCAGCUUGUUGGUGGGGUAAUGGCCUACCAAGGCUUUGACGGGUAGCCGGCCUGAGAGGGUGACCGGCCACACUGGGACUGAGACACGGCCCAGACUCCUACGGGAGGCAGCAGUGGGGAAUAUUGGACAAUGGGCGGAAGCCUGAUCCAGCAACGCCGCGUGAGGGAUGACGGCCUUCGGGUUGUAAACCUCUUUCAGCACCGACGAAGCGUGAGUGACGGUAGGUGCAGAAGAAGGACCGGCCAACUACGUGCCAGCAGCCGCCGUAAUAC
rnacentral:rRNA from 1 species